rnacentral:tRNA from 1 species
GAGGGGACAGCUCAGUGGCAGAGCACAUGCUUAGCAUGCAUGAGGGCCUGGGUUCAAUCCCCAGUCCCCUCC